rnacentral:lncRNA from 1 species
AACCAUUCAAGCUAUGGUGGGCCGAAUGGAAACAGUACCUGUUCUGCACCUCCGCAUCGAUAUACUGCAAUCUCCUGGAUCCAGCCAACAUCGAUCCGAACGCCAAGGUAUUUUUUCCCCUAGCCGAUUUUCAUUCCUUUAUUAAUGCGGUUAAAUACGUACACUAACAUCUUGCUAUUGCUUCAGUCUGAAAACCGCGUUCCCCCAACACGCAGUCAGAGUGGCCGGCCGAUAGAGGACCAUCAUUCAUACACCAUCUUCC